GAUGAACGCUGGCGGCGUGCCUAAUACAUGCAAGUCGAGCGAACAGACGAGGAGCUUGCUCCUCUGACGUUAGCGGCGGACGGGUGAGUAACACGUGGAUAACCUACCUAUAAGACUGGGAUAACUUCGGGAAACCGGAGCUAAUACCGGAUAGUAUAUUGAACCGCAUGGUUCAAUAGUGAAAGACGGUUUUGCUGUCACUUAUAGAUGGAUCCGCGCCGCAUUAGCUAGUUGGUAAGGUAACGGCUUACCAAGGCAACGAUGCGUAGCCGACCUGAGAGGGGGAACGGCCACAAUGGAACGGAGACCGGGACCAACCUCCUAGGGGAGGCAGCAGGAGGGAAUUUUCCGCAAGGGGCGAAAGCCUAAGGGAACAACGCCGGGGAGGGGAAGAAGGUCUUCGGAUUGAAAAACCCUUUUUUUAGGAAAAAAAAAAGGGGAAAGUAACUAAGCCGGUUUGAAGGGGACCAAACAAAAAAGCCACGGCAAACUAAGU
rnacentral:rRNA from 1 species